AUUGUUUCUUGGUCUUUUGGCUGAGAUCAAGUGUAGUAUUUGCUCUUAUCAGUUUAAAGUAUUAAUAAUUUAUAUACUUCCUUCUUGAUCACUAUCAAGACUGAAUUAUAAGUCCUGGUUACAGGUUACAGGUUACUGCCAACCUGGGCCUUUCUCUCU
rnacentral:snRNA from 1 species